rnacentral:rRNA from 1 species
UAGAGUUUGAUCCUGGCUCAGAUUGAACGCUGGCGGCAUGCUUUACACAUGCAAGUCGAACGGCAGCGGGGGCUUCGGCCUGCCGGCGAGUGGCGAACGGGUGAGUAAUACAUCGGAACGUAUCCUUGAGUGGGGAAUAACGCAUCGAAAGAUGUGCUAAUACGCAUACCUCUAGGAGAAAAGCAGGGACAGAAGUGCCUUGCGCUGAAAGAACGGUCGAUGUCUGAUUAGCUAGUUGGUGGGGGUAAAAACCUACCAAGGCGAACAUCAGUAGUUGGUCUGAAAGACGAACAACCACACUGGGGACUGAAACACGGCCCCAACUC